rnacentral:rRNA from 1 species
UUGGAUUCAACGCCGAAAUCUUACCGGACCGACAGCAAUAUGAAGGCCAGGCUGAAGACUUUGCCGGAUUAGCUGAGAGGUGGUGCAUGGCCGUCGUCAGUUCGUACUGUGAAGCAUCCUGUUAAGUCAGGCAACGAGCGAGACCCACGCCCACAGUUGCCAGCGUACUCUCCGGAGUGACGGGUACACUGUGGGACCGCCGCUGCUAAAGCGGAGGAAGGAAUGGGCAACGGUAGGUCAGUAUGCCCCGAAUAUCCCGGGCUACACGCGAGCUACAAUGGUUGGUACAAUGGGUAUCUACCCCGAAAGGGGACGGGAAUCUCCUAAAACCAAUCUUAGUUCGGAUUGAGGGCUGCAACUCGCCCUCAUGAAGCUGGAAUCCGUAGUAAUCGCGUUUCAACAGAACGCGGUGAAUACGUCCCUGCUCCUU